GGCUGGGGUGGCUUAACUCAUGCCUGGCAUGAGUAAACGGACCCUGUAAAUUAACAGACCCAGUAAAGGAAGUACUGGGUAAGGAAUACAGGACACCCUCAUAUGGUCUAGGACAGCGGGGGAGGAGUAGUGAGCAAAUGGCACUGGCAUCCAAUGGCAAACCACAUCGGAGAGACGCAGAAAUUAAACAAUGUGGACUAAGGAUACUGGGACAAGUUUGAGAAAAAGGGAGGAAUGAAGUACUGAGGAGAAAGCUGCAGAGCUGGAGAGAAGAGGAGGGUGAGAAAAGAAAAGGAUCUAAAAAUAUGUGGUGAUGAAGACAAAGCCGCAGAAGACAAAAGAGCGAGAAAGGAAUGCAGAGCGGGAGCAAUAACGGAUUCCCUGUGUGGAGCGCAGUGAGCAUCCUAGGACAAAGGCAUGUAAACACACAACCAUGCACUUAUGGAAACAAGAAAGUCUAGGGCAGAGGUGUCGAACAUAAGGUCCGGGGGUUCGACAUCUCUGGUUUAGACUCUCUUGGUCUGUUCUCCCUGCACAUACCAAGCAGCCAUCUGGUGAGCCGG